UGUUCUUGUGUUCAGUAUUUUGAAGUUCACUGCCAUCGCUCAGUUUAUGUUUUGUGCCAGCAAUAAAGCUGAGGUUUGCAGUUACAAUUCAGUGUCAGAGUCCUGCGCUUGGAUCCUCUCCGCCUGCCCGCACACAGAGCCCUGACAAAAAAUACCCAUAUGGAGGAAGUGGAUGCCAAUGCAAAAAGAUCAAAAUCCCUCCGUGCGAGAAACAAGUGUCCUCCUCCCAGCAGCCGAGCAGGAGGGAGGAAGAGUCGCUCAACAGGGUACAAAGCGAGGUGAUGGUGGCGAGCCAUGGGAAGGAGCUGUCAACAAGGUGGCUUAGCUAGCAGUGCCCAGUGUUCCCAUAACGGCCAAGGAGUGCCUGAAGAGGAGAGUGGAGAGUCAAACAUGGCAAAGGAUGACAACGGAGAACCGGGGGAAUGGAGGACUUCGCUCUCUGAGCAGACUCACUGGACUUCAGUCAACAGUGAGAGACACCAAGUGAUGUUCAGUGUGCUCUCCUUUCCCAUUUGUUCAAUCACCAAACUCCCCCACCAACGUGAAACUCAUCACAAAUUUGUGUUUGCAUUUUUUAGUGUAAGCAUUUGGCUCUUUUUUGUCUUCCUCUUUUCUGAACAAGUGUCUGUGUUUUUAUUUCAUAUUUAUUCCACAACAGUCUCCUUUACAUGAACCGUUUGCUUCCAGUCACCUGUAAUCAAUGACAGCUCCCCCGUCUCAUCCUCCGGCCUGUCAGGCUUACCCCAACAAGACUGUGUAGGAGGUCAACACUUUAACAUGUGAAUCUGCGAGGUUGUUGAGGGUCGACAAGUGCCGAUGCAAGUAUGGAUAAACGAACAGAUAGAUGGAUGGAUGAGGAUGUGGUGUUUAUAGUGGGUGAUCGAGGCAGCCGUGAGAAAGCUAGAGCUGCAGUUUGGCCUGACCUGUUGCUGUUUCAGAAGAGUCUGUAACUCUUCGCAUUAACUGACCAAAGGCAGCGCUCCUGCCGGUUGGCUGACGAGGGGAUGUUUGAUUUUUCUGAGAUUGCGUCAAAAUAAGGCCAAUUUAGGAAGGGUUUUCCCCCAGCUCGUGAUAUCGGUCAGAACAAAUACACCACAGAUGCACGUAUAGUAAAUCAGCGCACAGGAAGUAAUAUUCAUGGUAGUGUGGCUGUGGUGGUUUUCAUCAAAGCCACUGUCCUCAUGGAGCACACGUGUGUGUCAAGCAUCAUCUGCUGUGGAUUAGCGAGGUCUGGGAAUGUCUGUGGGUUGCUCUGGCCCUCAUCAUUUUGUCACCAUAUGUCACUUGUUAUGCCCUUUCUAAUAAAUUUGACAUAUUUUGUAUCGUAUGUAUAACCCGCCACAUAUGGAUUUCAGCUUGUUUGCAAAUUCUUUCUGCAUAACAUUCUGAACUUUAUAUGCACAUCGCUGUCAACAUUAAGCUCAAUGUCAGCAUUUAAAAACAGGAUUCAGCAGUCUGCUGUCAGGGCAGAGGUGCAUUCACAGUGAAGGUGCCGUACAAUGCAUCAGGGCUUCCUCACUUCUGUGUCUUUUCUUUCUUUACAAAAUUGUCUUUCCCUCCACCACCCAUUUUUUCCACUUAAUUUUCUGUCCUACUCUUCCUCCUGCUCAUUCUAGCUAUCUCUCCUACUCCCUCCUUCUACCCCCUCUUCCUAGCCUCUCUCUAAGCUGUUUGGAGAUACAUUCCUCAUUCCUUGAAUGCACACAGAAAUGCUGGGUGCCCUGGCGUCAGCACUUCUUAAAAUGGGCUGCUGCCACUGCUGCUCCAGCUCAAGAGAGAGAGAGUGAGAUGAGAGCAAAAGGAAAAUCCAGUAAAUCGGCCAAACUCAGGAAAGUACUUUCAUUAAAACAAGUUUCUUUGAGAAGGUGGAGGUUGAUAUGGAGCAGCUUUAUCAGAAGUGAUCAGGCCCAAUAGCUGCAAAGUGCUACAAGCUUAGAAAAUAAGGUUGCAUUUCAUGUGUACACAUAUGCAGGGUGGAGACUUUAUUUGGCUGCAGGAAUCUGCAUCACUGAGCUGAGUAGUAAGCGCCUGUCUCAACUCUGUAUUUCUCUGCUUGUUACCAGUUUCACUGAGAAACAGUUUCAGUCUGUGUGUGAACUGUGUGUG